rnacentral:rRNA from 1 species
UACAGAGGGUGCGAGCGUUGUUCGGAAUUAUUGGGCGUAAAGGGCGCGUAGGCGGCCUGGCAAGUGGAUGGUGAAAUCCCUCGGCUUAACCGAGGAACUGCCAUCCAGACUGCUUGGCUUGAGACCGGGAGAGGUGAGUGGAAUUCCCAGUGUAGCGGUGAAAUGCGUAGAUAUUGGGAGGAACACCAGUGGCGAAGGCGGCUCACUGGACCGGUACUGACGCUGAGGCGCGAAAGCGUGGGGAGCAAACGGG